GAACACAUUUAUGAUUAUAGUGUGAACGCGUUAGCAUAUUUAUUAUCAAAUCAUUGUGAAGCUGCCACGUGUCUAUUAUAAUAUGAAUGCAUUUAUUACAAUGCUUCUCUUUUAAUAUAUAAGGGAUUCGGUGUCCCACUAUCUCUCACUCUCUCUCUCUGAUCUUGUUUUUUUUUUUUUUUUUUUUUUUGGACAAAUCUCUCUCUGAUCUUCUUGAUUUUGUCCUUCAAACAAAAAAAAAGUCAUCUGAUUUUUUCUUUAAAAUUCGCUUUUUUUCAUCAAAUUCGAC
rnacentral:lncRNA from 1 species